AUCAAUGCACCAUCAACUUCUUCGAGCUACGAUGACGAGCAAGGCCGCGGUGCAGUGUCACUUCCUUUUGAAGAGACAAGUGUACCGCAACCCUCUCCACCUGCUUCCCCAGAGUCUGGUGUGCAUUACUCCGCAUCUUCAUGUAGUGAC